AAAAUUAGUUGGUAGGGGCGAUGCCAUGAUCAGGAAGGUGGUUUCCCCAGGAUGAGGCUCGCCCAUUGCACUCUGGGCUUGGGUGUGCUGACCCCUGCAAAUGUGGGAAACUCAACUGCAUAAUUUAUGGUAGUGGGGGACUGCAUGUGCACCAUCCCCUG